rnacentral:siRNA from 1 species
UAUCAAUUUGGUGUUUCUCUU